AUUGAACGCUGGCGGCAUGCCUUACACAUGCAAGUCGAACGGCAGCACGGGAGCAAUCCUGGUGGCGAGUGGCGAACGGGUGAGUAAUAUAUCGGAACGUGCCCAGUAGUGGGGGAUAGCCCGGCGAAAGCCGGAUUAAUACCGCAUACGACCUACGAGUGAAAGCGGGGGAUCGCAAGACCUCGCGCUAUUGGAGCGGCCGAUAUCAGAUUAGCUAGUUGGUGGGGUAAAGGCCUACCAAGGCGACGAGCUGUAGCUGGUCUGAGAGGACGACCAGCCACACUGGGACUGAGACACGGCCCAGACUCCUACGGGAGGCAGCAGUGGGGAAUUUUGGACAAUGGGCGCAAGCCUGAUCCAGCCAUGCCGCGUGCGGGAAGAAGGCCUUCGGGUUGUAAACCGCUUUUGUCAGGGAAGAAACGGUCCGCGCUAAUACCGUGGGCUAAUGACGGUACCUGAAGAAUAAGCACCGGCUAACUACGUGCCAGCCGCCGCAGUAAGAC
rnacentral:rRNA from 1 species